rnacentral:rRNA from 1 species
AUGCUACCCGUCAAGUAUGAAAAGAUACCUUAUUUCUGCCAGGUGUGUGGAUUGAUGGGACAUAACCAUGAGGAAUGCGGUGGUGGUAUCUGGGAGGCAAAGCAUAAGCAGUGGGGCAGUUGGAUGUUAGCCAAAAGGAAGGAAGCAGUACCUGAGACUCAAGGUGGAGGCCGUGCAGCUCGGGGUGGCCGAACUGGCGGGCGGGGCAGAGCGGGGAGGGCUGGCCGUGGUGAUCCACCCCCACGCCAGAGAUCACCCCCUCGCAAGAGAUCAUCACAGGAUGCCGGUCUGCACACAGGAGAAGAGGGGGAUGAGGAGGUGAUGAGUCCAUUAAAACAGCCUGAACCGGGGGCAAGCAAACCAACAGAAUUGGUCAGCUCUGAAAAGGACGUGGAGGAACCAUCUGCACGAAAGAACCUGAGCUUGGCGUUCUCUGCUACUUGCGUCACCGAACCUGGCCAGGAGAAUAGUGCCAUGCCGCCGCUUCCACCGGCGUACGUCUCACCCAGGGAGAUCAAGAAGGCAAAGAAGGAUGCUUCCCCGAAGAAAAGCAACAAUUUGGCAUUAUUGGCGGGCUCCAACGGGGAGCGCCGCCGGGCCCAAUGA